rnacentral:rRNA from 1 species
UUGAUUACGUCCCUGCCCUUUGUACACACCGCCCGUCGCUGCCCGGGACUGAGCCAUUUCGAGAAACUUGGGGACAGCCGAUCCGGUUGCCUUCGGGCAGCCGCUUUGGUCGAAACCAAUUUAAUCGCAGUGGCUUGAACCGGGCAAAAGUCGUAACAAGGUAGCUGUAGGUGAACCUGCUGCUGGAUCAUU